rnacentral:rRNA from 1 species
AUUGAACGCUAGCGGGAUGCUUUACACAUGCAAGUCGAACGAGUGGCGGACGGGAGAGUAAUCAAUCGGACCGUGCCUAGUAGCGGGGGUUAACUACCCGACAGAGUUGCCACUACCGCAUACUAUUGGAGAGGCCGAUAUCGGAUUAGCUAGUUGGCGGGGUAAAGACUGACCAAGGCAACGAUCCGUAGCUGGUGUGAGAGGACGACCAGCCACACUGGGACUGAGACACGGUCCAGGCUCCUACGGGAGGCAGCAGUGGGGAAUUUUGGACAAUGGGAGAAAACCUGAUCCAGCCAUGCCGCGUGUAUGAGAAGGACUUCGGGUUGUAAAGUACUUUUGGCAGAGAAGCGGUAUCUGCAGAAUAAGCACCGGCUAACUACGUGCCAGCAGCCGCGGUAAUAC